GUUAUUGUUUUGUGUAGAAACUAGGAUGGUCUAUAUAGUUUCUUCUUCUUCAUGUUUUCUAUAGUAUAUAUCUUUUACCAAACUGUACAAUAACGCUUUUGAAGUAAUGAAAAUGUGUUUUUAUUUUUUUACUUUUGGACAUAUCACUCUGUUUGUUUGUUUUUCUUUUCUGCUUACAUAUCCAGUCAGGUGGAUAAGUUAAUAUUUAUCUAUUACAUAUUUGGUUUCGAAAAGUAGUGGAUACAGUAAGUUACUAAAGAGUAACUGAAAUAAUAAGUUACCUUUUCGAAAAUAUCAAAGUUACUAAAAUAUAAGUAAAAUUAAAAUAAUAAAUUACUAAAGUAAUGAGGCUACGAAUGUUAUCAAAACAAUAAGACAUAUUUUGAAAAGUAACAAAGUAUUAAGUUUCUAAAAAUUAACUAACACUAAUAUAUCACGUUGGAGUUAGUGACCGAUAGGAAAUUAAAAUAGUUUAAAAGGUUAAUUUAUGGCCAGCUGGCAAAAGAAUAAACUUAUGUGGUCUUCUUGUAUUGUGAAUCUUGUGAUACAAUCAUACAAGGUUAAUUUAUGGCCAGCUGGCAAAAGAAUAAAUUCAGAUUUUUUAAAAAUGUAUUCUCUAAAUUGGAGCCUCUUUAGAGAAAUUUGUUUGACCAACAGCAUGCAUUAAACUUUUCCAGCUGUUUUGACUGUUAGUUUCAGUAUUUUGAUUUUUUUUGUACAAUUUUUUAGGACUUGGCAUUUGGUUUAUCACUUUCAGCACUGCUUGGGGAUAAUAUCUACAACUUUGGCGAGCUGCUGGUACAUCCUAUUAGUUAAUUUAACAGAUGGUCUUGAAGGGCUGGCUGGGCGGACUAUUGCCUUGGCAUUUGUUGGAAUGUCAAUUUCAGUGCUUCCAAUAUGUCCUGUGUUGGACACAAGAGAGAGGUCAUUCUUGAAAAACAACUGGCACAGAUUACAGGAAAAGAAAGAGCUGAUCUUAAGGUGAAGAGAGCAGUGAUAAUUAUAGCUAUUCUGAUUGGAUUAACUUGUGGGAUGAUUUUAAUUGGCUUUUACAUUUGCAAGUGGAGAGCAUUUUAUGAUUAUUAGCCAAGUUGGACAAAAACAGGGUAGAUUGAAUAUUGAGGAAGAUGAUGAUGGGCAACCAAGGAAGAAGGUUCAUCUAGGUGUUCCAGCGACACAAUGGAUUUUAGUUUACAAUGCUCGCUAGCCAAUGAAACAGAGGUGCAUUUUUUGAAUGUUAUGUUUUUUUUUUUACCCUUGAAGUAGUAUCAUUUGUCAUUUUUGAUGAUAUUACUAGCAGUAUUCUGCCUAUAUUUCUUUAUGUUAAUUUUUAAAUGCUUGGAUUGGAACCAUAUACAACUUUCUUAAUCUCUCUAUUUUUCUUUGUUGCCAACCAUAAGCAAGAACAAGUGCCCUAUCAGCUGUCAUGUUCUUCUUCUCUGUGCGUCUCUCAAAAUCUCAUCUAUGGU